rnacentral:rRNA from 1 species
UACGUAGGGGGCAAGCGUUGUCCGGAAUCACUGGGCGUAAAGGGCGCGUAGGCGGACUUUUAAGUCGGGGGUGAAAGCCCAGGGCUCAACCCUGGAAUUGCCUUCGAUACUGGGAGUCUUGAGUUCGGAAGAGGUUGGUGGAACUGCGAGUGUAGAGGUGAAAUUCGUAGAUAUUCGCAAGAACACCAGUGGCGAAGGCGGCCAACUGGUCCGAAACUGACGCUGAGGCGCGAAAGCGUGGGGAGCAAACAGG